UUGGAGGGCAAGUCUGGUGCCAGCAGCCGCGGUAAUUCCAGCUCCAAUAGCGUAUAUUAAAGUUGUUGCAGUUAAAAAGCUCGUAGUUGAAUUUCGGGAUCAGACUGUCGGUCGUGCCUCGGUACGCACUGGCAUUAUUGGUUCCUACCUUCUGAAGAACCGCGAUGUCAUUAAUUUGGUGUCGCGGGGAAUCAGGACUGUUACUUUGAAAAAAUUAGAGUGCUUAAAGCAGGCUUACGCUUGAAUACAUUAGCAUGGAAUAA
rnacentral:rRNA from 1 species